CCAACACACGUCACAGAAAGAAGCUAGAAGCCAUGAAAAUGGUGAAAACUACGCUCUUGGGAUCAACACCUGGAAAAUCAAGCACCACCACAGCUUUGGAAGAUGACCGCUCCGAAAGUCGAGACAGCUACUACUUCCCCGGCUGCCGAAAAGAUGCUAAUUGUAACUGCCCGAUUUUCUUGGCCAGCAUCAUUGCCCUACUCUUGACCUCAGACCCAUCAGCAUCCAGAAAAGCUCCCUCACUAAGCUCUUCGCUUCUCAAACUGGCAACGUGGAGUGCACUCAUAUCUCAUUCAAUUCUUCUAUCUUAUCCACACCUAGAUCGAGUGCUAAUUAGGUUCCUCCCCCUCCGUUUCUUGAAUCAAAUGCAAGAUAGAAUUUCAACGAGGAGAUGAGGAACAGGAAAAGAGAGUGGGAUUUUAGAGAAGUCGUUUGAUGAGAUUGGCAUUUGGUUUGAGUUUGAUCUUCGUGGCUGAGUCCGGGCUUCAUUGUGUGCUUUCUGGGGACUUAAGACCCGUGUUAUCGCGGGAUAUAGUUAAGCAUGUGGGUGAGAAAUCCUGGGUUGUGCAAGAUUUGAAGGGGAGCUGAGUUUUUUGCAGAGAGAGUUGCAGGGUCUUGUCAACGGGGAGGUUUCAAAUUGCAGCAAUACUGAUUCUAUGAGGGAAAUUGAUCAGGACGGUUUGCUCUUGAUUUCGAGUUGUACGUUGUACAAGUCAGCAAUGGAGGAGGUUAGUCGACUUAUGGGGAUGGCCAUUGCAGACAACGGGAUUGCUCACAACUGGAUUUUCUUCCCGAUCUUUCACUAUCUUAUUCCGGCAGAGUUACAGAGGAUUACAAUAAAUCAAGAUUAUGACAAAUAAUCGCAUCAAACUAUUUGGCAUUUGGUACAGUAAUGUCUCAUGUAAACAACCUUCCAAGCUAUUAUUUGUUUCUACUUCAUGAAACGUUGG